AGUGAUGUUUAUAAAGCAGGGCAAAGCGGCUAGAUAUUCUCUGUAAGCAUAUCAUAUUGAUGCUUGCCGACGACGUAGCCUGCAACGCUUGAGAUGCGUGCCCAGCCCAAGUGUACAAUAAUGACAACCAUCGAUUCAACCUUUAUGAUAACCAUAUUUAGGUUGAUCACAAGGGCCAUGAAGUAAACGCGAAAUACUUCUGCGUGUUUGUACCAGUCGCCACGAUGAUACUAUGGCGAGGUCCAAAUGGUUGCUCAGUGGCGAAGCUUUAUGGCCCAAGAUUCGUGCCGUGGGGAGCAGUUUGAAGGAAGAGAGCUCCUGUUCUCACUACUUAAAUGCACAUAGAAACUAUCUUCAUUCCUCCCAAAACUGUUGAAAUGCCUCGCGUACUAUUAUUGGUGGAGAUUUGCCGAUGCAAGGCUAUGGAGGGUGAAGAAGGCUUUAAAUGCGUCGAAUGUGAGGAAUGGCCUCAUGCAAGGUGACAAGAAGAACACUCGUCUUCGUGGAUUUGCUUGCCGCAGCAGGCAAAGUAUCAUCCAUUACCUACCCUGGCUUAUGAAGCUUUCUUUGGUUCGUGCUUGUCGGAAGACGUUUUGGUCCACAGAUGAGCAUGCACAGUUAAUCUCUCUUCACGCAGAUCAGGUGUCAUUUAGUUUGACAAUUGAGUCACAAUCACCCAGGUAGGUAUUGAGCAAGGUGUAACUCAGGAACUGCUGGAAAUUGACACUCAAUACAGAUAGCUGUGCUGAAUGGUUUCAGUUCA